GCUCAACCGAAGAAGUGCAUUGGAAACUGGGAGACUUGAGUGCAGAAGAGGACAGUGGAACUCCAUGUGUAGCGGUGAAAUGCGUAGAUAUAUGGAAGAACACCAGUGGCGAAGGCGGCUGUCUGGUCUGCAACUGACGCUGAGGCUCGAAAGCAUGGGUAGCGAACAGGAUUAGAUACCCUGGUAGUCCAUGCCGUAAACGAUGAUUACUAAGUGUUGGAGGGUUUCCGCCCUUCAGUGCUGCAGCUAACGCAUUAAGUAAUCCGCCUGGGGAGUACGACCGCAAGGUUGAAACUCAAAAGAAUUGACGGGGGCCCGCACAAGCGGUGGAGCAUGUGGUUUAAUUCGAAGCUACGCGAAGAACCUUACCAGGUCUUGACAUCUUCUGGCGGUCUAAGAGAUUAGAGGUUCCCUUCGGGGACAGAAUGACAGGUGGUGCAUGGUUGUCGUCAGCUCGUGUCGUGAGAUGUUGGGUUAAGUCCCGCAACGAGCGCAACCCUUAUUACUAGUUGCCAGCAUUAAGUUGGGCACUCUAGUGAGACUGCCGGUGACAAACCGGAGGAAGGUGGGGACGACGUCAAAUCAUCAUGCCCCUUAUGACCUGGGCUACACACGUGCUACAAUGGAUGGUACAACG
rnacentral:rRNA from 1 species